rnacentral:rRNA from 1 species
CAGCAGCCGCGGUAAUACGUAGGGUGCGGGCGUUAAUCGGUAUUACUGGGCGUAAAGCGUGCGCAGGCGGUUAUGUAAGACAGAUGUGAAAUCCCCGGGCUCAACCUGGGACCUGCAUUUGUGACUGUAUAGCUAGAGUACGGUAGAGGGGGAUGGAAUUCCGCGUGUAGCAGUGAAAUGCGUAGAUAUGCGGAGGAACACCGACGGCGAAGGCAAUCCCCUGGACCUGUACUGACGCUCAUGCACGAAAGCGUGGGGAGCAAACAGGAUUAGAUACCCCUGUAGUCCCUGUCUCUUAUAA